GACGAACGCUGGCGGCGUGCUUAACACAUGCAAGUCGAACGCAAAUUCCUUGCUUGUGGCUUGUUCUCCAGUGGCAAACUGGUGAGUAACCCGGUGGUAACCUCCCCUUUACUCUGGGAUACCGUCAGGGAACUGAGUCGGAUACCGGAUAUGAUCUCCUGCAGCUUGGUUUACCGUGGAGAGUUUCGGUGGUUGGGGCUGUUCUCUCGGUUUUUCAGCUACCUGGUGUGGUUGUGCCAUACCAAGGCGUUGAUGCAUAGCCGGCCUGAGAUGGUGAUCGGCGACACUGGGACUGAGACAGGGCCCAGACUCGUACGGGAGGCAGAAGUAGGGAAUCUUCGGCAAUGGACGCAAGUCUGACCGAGCAACGCCGCGUGAGUGAAGAAGGUGUUCGGAUCGUAAAACUCUGUUGUUAGAGAAGAACAAGGAUGAGAGUGGAAAGUUCAUCCCUUGACGGUAUCUAACCAGAAAGCCACGGCUAACUACGUG
rnacentral:rRNA from 1 species